ACGUUAGCGGCGGACGGGUGAGUAACACGUGGGUAACCUACCUAUAAGACUGGGAUAACUUCGGGAAACCGGAGCUAAUACCGGAUAAUAUUUCGAACCGCAUGGUUCGAUAGUGAAAGAUGGUUUUGCUAUCACUUAUAGAUGGACCCGCGCCGUAUUAGCUAGUUGGUAAGGUAACGGCUUACCAAGGCGACGAUACGUAGCCGACCUGAGAGGGUGAUCGGCCACACUGGAACUGAGACACGGUCAAGACUCCUACGGGAGGCAGCAGCG
rnacentral:rRNA from 1 species